GAUGAACGCUAGCUACAGGCUUAACACAUGCAAGUCGAGGGGAAACGACAUCGCAAGCUUGCUUUUGAUGGGCGUCGACCGGCGCACGGGUGAGUAACGCGUAUCCAACCUGCCCAUCACUUGGGAAUAACCUUGCGAAAGUAAGACUAAUACCCAAUGACAUCCCACGAAGACAUCUGAAUGGGAUUAAAGAUUUAUCGGUGAUGGAUGGGGAUGCGUCUGAUUAGCUUGUUGGCGGGGUAACGGCCCACCGAGGCAACGAUCAGUAGGGGUUCUGAGAGGAAGGUCCCCCAGAUUGGAACUGAGACACGGUCCAAACUCGUACGGGAGGCAGCAGUGAGGAAUAUUGGUCAAUGGGCGUGAGCCUGACCCAGCCAAGUAGCGUGCAGGAUGACGGCCCUAGGGGUUGUAAACUGCUUUUAUAAGGGAAUAAAGUGGGUCUCGUGAGACUUUUUGCAUGUACCUUAUGAAUAAGGACCGGCUAAUUCCGUG
rnacentral:rRNA from 1 species